CACGUAGGGGGCGAGCGUUGUCCGGAUUUAUUGGGCGUAAAGAGCUCGUAGGUGGUUCGGUAAGUCGGGUGUGAAACCUCCAGGCUCAACCUGGAGACGCCACCCGAUACUGCUGUGACUAGAGUCCAGUAGGGGAGCGUGGAAUUCCUGGUGUAGCGGUGAAAUGCGCAGAUAUCAGGAGGAACACCAGUGGCGAAGGCGGCGCUCUGGGCUGGCACUGACACUGAGGAGCGAAAGCGUGGGGAGCGAACAGG
rnacentral:rRNA from 2 species